GACCGGGAGGCGCCCAUGGUCUUCGGCCGCCGCCCGCCCGCCCCACUGCUGCUCGCGCGCUUCUCGGGGCUGCGGCGCGGGGCCUGCGGUCGGGCCAUGGCGCCGCCGCGCUGUUUCGCGCUGGAGCUGCCCGGCUGCACCCUGGCUCAUUUCGCAGUGGGCGACGAGGCCCCGGACGCGCGCCCCGACCCCGGCGUGGCCGCGCUCCUGGGCCCCCCGGGCCGCAGCUACUCUCUGAGCGUGCCGGAGGCCGGGGGCGCGGGCUGCGCGGCCCGGGUGCGCGCGGCCCGGCUGCACCAGCGCUUGCUGCACCAGCUGCGGCGCGGCCCCUUCCGGCGGUGCCAGCUGCGCCGGCUGCUGUUCUACCGCCCGGGCGGCGGGGCGGGGGGCCUGCAGCACGGCUUCCUGCUCCGCGACCCCCGCGACAGCCCCGACACCCGGAGCGCGCUGCUGGCGCUGCUGGACGCCUGCCCGGAGGCCCCGCGCCCGAGCCUGGCCGAGUUCUCCGGCGACCCGCUCUGCCGGCUGUGGCAGCUCCCGUGGGAACGGCGAGACGGCCAGGGGUGGCGGCAGCUGGGCCGCGAGCGCGUCGUGCCCGUGCCGGAGCCCGCGCUGCACCCGGUGGUGCCGGACCUGCCCAGCUCCGGGGUCUUCCCCCACCGGGAGGCCGCCCGCGCCGUUCUGGAGGCGUGUACAUCCUUCAUUCCUGAAGCCCGGGCUGUGCUGGACCUGGUUGACCAGUGCCCAGAGCAGGUCCAGAAGGGCAAGUUCCCCGUUAUUGUCAUUGAAGGCCUGGAUGCCACAGGUAAAACCACUGUGACCCAGUCAGUUUCAGAUUCACUCAAGGCUGUUCUCUUGAAGUCACCACCCUCUUGCAUCAGCCAGUGGAGGAAAGUCUUUGAUGAUGAACCAACUAUCAUUAGAAGAGCUUUUUACUCUUUGGGCAAUUAUAUCGUGGCUUCUGAAAUAGCUAAAGAAUCUACCAAAUCGCCUGUGAUUGUAGAUAGGUACUGGCACAGCACGGCCACCUACACCAUAGCCACCGAGGUAAGUGGGGGCCUCCAGCACCUGCCCCCUGCCCAUCACCCUAUAUACCAGUGGCCCAGGGACCUGCUCAAACCCGACCUGGUCCUGCUGCUUACCGUGAGUCCCGAGGAGAGGAUGCAGAGGAUCGAGGGCCGGGGCAUGGAGAGGACCAAGGAGGAGGCUGAACUGGAGGCCAACAGCAUAUUUCGUCAAAAGGACAUCAUCAUUUCUCUCAAAGAUCUGAUGUGAGAAUGAAAUGAGAUGAUACAAGAAAGAGGAGCUGCCGGUCCUGGCCCAGAAAAGGCACCAAGUUAAGGUUAAUUCCCUUCUUCCUCCGUCUGUCUUGUUGAGCACAUUCUGACUUUCACAAAUCUGUGGGCCUAAAGGGAAACACACCUAUUAAUAUUCACUGCUGAGUCAUUUCCAGAGCUGGCAAACUGAGCCUUUCCAGCUCUGGAAGAUUAUAAACAUAAACACUAUUUUCCACAGGAGAGACUGCCAAAACACAGAGCUGAUUUGCCCACGAGUUUAAGCAUGGCAAUGGUAAAUAUAUAUAUGCAUAUAAAGUCAAUAACAAUGGCAGCUUAUUAUUUAAUUUUAUUAAUAGACAAAAAUUAAGAGUUAGGAGCUAUACUUUUGCUAUCUAGGUGACGUGAGCUUAAGCAUUUACCCCAUCACCCAGCACAAGAGAUCAUGUUUCAAAAAUGAAAAACUUUCAGGAAGGCCUCUUUCCAUUUGUAUUUAAAAACCAAAUGUUUCCAACAGAGAAUUAUCUCCCUUAGAAAGAGAAACGACUUUAGUCAAUAAAAAUAUUAACCCUAAACAUCUGCUAAGAGUCUCACAUGCAUUAUUGCACAUAUUGUUCACAUUAAAUCUAUGAAUCAUAAUACUGUUAUAAUCUUAUAUCUAUUUAGAAGUGACUUAACCAGCCCGAGGUCACAGGGCUAGUUAACGGUGGAGCCAGGAAUCAUGCUAUGUUUGCCUGACCCUGGAACCAGCGAGGGCCCCUAAGCACUGUACUUGGAGGCCUCAGGUGAAAGCAAAGCCAGACCCAGUGACCGUUCAAUUUAAAUAUAUAAUUAAAUCAAAACCAAAAGAUGAAAACUGAAAAACAAAUAUACCCAGAUUGGUAUAGCUUCGUAUUUGUAUAGCUCUUUGUUAGUUACAAAUGGUCCCUUUAUAAGUCAUCUCAGUCCAUCCUAUGUAGGAUUGGGUGAGACUUUAUAUCACUUUAUAGAUGAAGGAGGAGAGGUUAUACGACUUCACUGAAUGCCCCCAGGUAAUAAGCAAUAGAGCCUGGACUCCACCUUCUGACUGUAGAUCCUUGUUCUGUCCCCUGCUUUCCUUGACUUUCUAGGAGAAAACCUCCUCUUCCAUAGUUAGAGACUUGUUACCCAUUGACAGAGUAUCUUCUAAGUGUCAGUUCCUCUGGUAGCUGUUGUGAGCACACAGGUCUUAGAUAAACACAGACACUACCCCUCCUCUCUGGAGGAGAGACACAGAUAAAAAACAAAUAAAUACAUACGAUGUUAGUGCCCUGGUGGUGUUCGUGCCACAGACAAAAUUAAAAUGUGUGAAGUAGGUAGGGAGAACCAGGCUGGGGAGAGGAUUGAAGUUUUAACUUGGGUGGUGUGGGGAGAUUGCUCCGCUAAAGAGAUAUUUGAACACCUGGGAGAAGCGAGAAGGGCAGCCGUGUGCUUAUCAGGAGCGAUGGGGCUCCAGACAGACACGACUGCACGUGCCAAGGCCCUGAGGUGAUGGGAGGAUUCUUGAUGUGUAUGAGGAAUAAGAAGGAGGCCAUGGGAGCUGCAUCAGCUGGGCAGCAGAUUAGUCUACAACUCCGAAGGCUGAGUCUACAACUCCGAGGGCUGAGUGUACAACUCUGAGGGUUGUGUCUUCCGCCGUGGGGGCCAAGGACCGGUAAGUUCAGCAGAUCCGAGGCUUUGGUGCUGACAGACAGGCACGUGGAGGGAACCGCCCUCAGCCGGUGGAGAAGGGCCCCUGGAGUAGCGGGAAAUCAAAAGUGAUUCAGGCACAGAUUAUGUCCAGCCUCUCCGUAAAGGAGCCAGUUCUGUAUCGUAAAUGUGCUGAGCGUUCGCGGAGGACGGUGAAGCCCAACGGGAUGAGCACCAGUUACGAGCGUCUGAGGAAAAGCCUCAGCAGGAAACGGCCGUCCCUCUCCGCAGAUGGAAGCCUUCCUGGCAGAGACCACGCGUUUUCAUCACAUUUCCCAGAAGAGCUCAGGUUCUCUGGGUCCGCAUAUAUGAAUUAUCUAGAGUGAAGUCAAAUGGGGCAAAGUCACGCGAGUCUUUUUAAUUAAUCGGAUUCAUAAGUGCCCACUGGAAGGCAGCACUAUGGAUCCCAUUUUUUCCCUAUUUGACAUUUAUGUAGCCCUCUUUACCAUGUAAAAUAUCUUAUCCCUUUUUAUUGUCACAGCAAAACUGUGAAGUAGGGGUGUAGGAGUAAUAUCGUCUUUCUCUCUUUCCCUCCCUCCCUCCCAUCCUCCUUCCCUCCCUUCCUCCCUCCCUCCCUUGAGGAAAUGGAAAGUUAAAUGGUAUUUGAUAUGAUGGGAAGUGCUAGAACUCCAGAGAUCUCAGUGUCUUCCUCUGUGUGGCCUGGUCAGACCCCUCCAGAAGGGGACACCGUGCCAGGUCUGGCUGUGACAGUGUGGGGUGGGACAACGGGGGCCCUUCCGGAACCUGCAGGCCCUCUGUGCGGCCCUGUUGGCUCCCGGGCCACGUGGGUGGUGGAUGGAGAAUCUGGAGACCAGGGUCCAGGGCCGGGAGGAACACUGAGCAUCUGAACAAACUUGGGGACAUCACGCUACCGCUUUAGCCUGCCCUCUCAUCUCUAAAGGGAGGAGUUAACGUUUCAUUUAUUUAAGUAAUAUUUCUUUAGCUCUUAUUUCCGGCCGGUCGUGGUUAUAAGCACUCUACAGACAUUAACUUGUUUAAUUCUGCAGGCAGCCCCCUGAGGAAGGUCAUACUAUUAUCCGCAUCUUACGGAUGGGGAAAGGAAGCCACAGGAACGUGAAGCAGCUUGCUCAGGGCCGCAAGCUAGUGCCUGGCAGAGCCGGAAUUCAAAUCCGGGCAGGCUGGCUCCAUCGUCUGGCUUUAAGCUCUCACUCUGCCGCCUCCCAGUGCAAGAUCUGUACGUUCCCUCCUAGCCCUCCCCUCUGACGAGUGUAAUUUUAUGAGCUGAGAUUUCAGCCCAUACGGGGAACGCGUGCUCUAAUCCGUGACAUCAAACUGCACGCUCUGAUCUGAUCACCCGGCCUCCCCUUGAGGCAGUGUUGCCGCCGGAAACGUCCACUGUGUGAGCUGGCCGGGAUGCUGACUUACACAGAGGUGAGAACUCAGGGCCUCUGUGUACGCUGAUCUCACCAACGAUUUCUAGUUUUAAACUAGGAAACGGUAGGUGCUGAUGUAGGUGAGGUGCCUGGCCCUGGGACCCCCUCUCCCUUCUCAUGAGUUCACCCGCUGCCCUGAAGGUUCCAAUCACCCCUGCUGCGAUGACCCCAAACUGUGUCGUGAGCGCUCACUCCCGUCAAGGGUAAGUUAGGUUAAGGAGGAGCCACAAGCAUACCUCCUCUCCUGCUCCCCGCUGGCCCGCUCUCCUCCCCUGGACGCUGGAAUCCACUCACGGCGCCCCACAAAGAAGUAGAGCCCCCUGCACGUAAGUCUGCAACCCACACUGAGGCCGGACCUGCCGGGGGUUCCUUUCCAGCCCCUACUUCAAUUCACCUCUUGAGGGGGCCACGGGAAGCUCCACCCCUCCUCUGGGGGACCUCUGGAGACAGUUCUUGGGGUUCUAAGGUUCCUUUCUUUCUUUUUGCAGACAAAAAUACAUCUUAUUCCUGAACCGUAGCUGCAGAUUUGAAUUUCCUUUGUGCUGCCAGCCUCUUUCACCCGCAGCCCUGACACAGCUGAAUCUCAUCCUCACCUCCUCUCAGGUCGACUCAGGUCCAUGUGGUCAAAGGCCCCUCCGUCCUUGGAGUCCGGGAUGCUUUGCCCGUGCGGUCCGGGAUGUCCGUGAUCAUGGUCCCUGACGUUCCUCCUCUGAAGUGACCCCGUGUUUGUCUCUCACUCUCUGUCCCCUUGUCCUCUUUCCCGUGUUUUCCACGGGAAAACGAAGCCACUGUAGCCUCUUCCCAGUUACAGGAGUAAUCUCUCUGAAAACAGCCUCGCUACUUAAGAGCUCUCGUCAAAGCCCUUUUCUUUUUCCAUGCAUAAAAUAGCUACACAGGGACAUUAUAUUGAGGUGGGCACAGAGGCUGCUCACAGAAUUCUCCUGCCUCCACACAGGCACAGCCUCCGCCAUCAUCAGCAUCCCCCACCAGAGUGGUCCAUUUGUGAUAACCAAGGGGCCUCCGUCGACCGUCAUGAUCACAUCAAGUCCACGGUUUACAUCAGGCUCCGUUCUUGGAGUUAUACAUUCCAUGGGUUUGGACAAAUGUAUGAUGACACAUAUACACCGUCACAGUAUGAAUCGGAAUAGUUUCACUGCCAUAAAAAUCCUGUGUUCUACCUCUUCAUCUCCCCACCCCCUUCUACCCCAACUCCUGACAACUCCUGAUCUUUUUUCCUGUCUCCACAGUUUUGUCUUUUCUAGAACGUCAUACAGUUGGAAUCAUACAAGAACGGAUGAUCUUGAGAUCACACAUCUUAAAAGUAGCAAAGCUGGGGCUUGAACACAAGUUGAUGUAUCUUCAAAACACCAAGGUUUUCCAACACCUAUUGCUGUCGACAACAGUGGAGAGAGUAGGUGAGUGAUGUAUGGAAAUACAGAGUAACCUCUUUCUGGUCCACUAACUGGAAUUUAUAGUCCUAAAGAUUUAGUCUUAACAUCAAAUAUUUUAUUGCACUGGAUUUAAACCUCUUUACCAUCUACUGAGCCCAAUGAAGUAAUACUUAGUAAAUGCUACAUGUUGGCUUCUGGCCCAGUGCAGGGGAUAUGAGCACUUUGCAGUGAUAAUUUUCUCCUAAUUGCUUGUAACUAAUGCACUGCCAUUCUGGAAUUUGUCACUUACCUAAAUGUACCUUAGCAAAUGGACCAUGGUCUCCACCUAAAUGCACAUUUACACACACUAGAAACAGCUUGGUGAGAGGCAAGUGGGCUGAAGAAGGAUGUGCCUGAGUGGGCAGUGGGUGACCUGGUGGACCGCCGCCUUCUACGAAAUCUCUUUUGGAUGAGGAAGGAUGGCUGGAAGAGCAGGAAUUGGGACUCGAGAAGCCAAUGGAGAGGCAAGGCUGAGCCAAAGUCACUGUGUCUCCUGGGCUAGUCUUCCUUCUUCAGAGGCUUAUUUUCUCAGAAGUAAAAUGGAGAAGCUUGGUUAGAUCUGCCACUUCAAGCUGUGCUCUGUGGAGGUUACUUGGGGUCAUCGUAAGUAAGAAAUGAGAGCCGGAGGGAUCUGAGUUCUCUGCUCCCGCUCAGCCCCAUAGCUCUCUGCUUUGCCCAACUUACGGUUUCUGUGGUGAACAACAUGCAAACCGCUGGAAGUGAGCCUGCCCCAGGAUGGCUCCAGGGAGGACAUUCUGAGAGCUUACCGCUUCUCUCCCGUCUCCAAGAGCCCCCAGUGCACGUGCUCUGAUGAAGGUUGGCAUGACGAGCACAGAGGAUGCUGCCGGUGUGGCUUCCCAGGAAUCCCCACCGGCCAGCGCACAACAGAUGGCAGGGAGGGUGGCAAAAAAGAGAAGCCGGUGGAAGUAACCUGUGUUAGUCUCGGCCCCCAUGGGAGCAGGUAGGCAAAUGCUCACCAGUAGCCAUCUGGUCCCCUGUGAAAGGAGCUAAUGUAGUAGAGGGUGGUCAGGGCAUCUGUGUCCCCAUGAGGAGCUCCCAGGGCUGGCAGGGGCUGAGGACAUGUGGAGUGCCCACCCACCUGCCCAGCUGACCCGCUUCAGGCAGUGCCAACUGCAGCCAGGGGCAGCUGUCCUGGGCCACGGGGACAUCUGAUUCCUGGAAGGACAGACCAGGAGCCUCAAAGGGAAGGCAUACGAGACAGAUCCAGGAAUUGAGGUGACAUGAAACUUUCAGAGGGAGAGGCACCUUUAGCUUUCUUUUUGUUAAAAUAUCAAUGAACUCAUCUCUCUGCGUAUCUAAGUCCCCUCCCUUCUUUCUCUGUCUCUGUCUCUCUCUGUCUCUGUCUCUCUUUCUCUCUGUCUCUCAUCUAUAUUCUUUUGAGCUGUGAUUUUCAGUACUCCAGGGAUCUUAAAGUUUCCACACCAACCGCAGUAAAAUUGCGUAAGACGUCCUGAUGGUAGUGUGAAUUCUCACUGCCUUGGGGCCAGGCUGAAACCCACAAGCUUGAAAGAUCUGGACUUUGUAGGAGAAGCAGAAUCGGAGAGAGAGAGAGAGAGAGAGAGAGAGAGAGGAAACAAAUGAAUUCAGGAAGAUCCAUACGGAACCUCAUUUCUGUCUUUCUCGAGCUGGUGGGAAAUUAGCAAAUGACUUAACCUGUCUGAGUGUCAUGUUCCACAUCUGUUAAAAGAGAAUUUAGAUUAACUUUAGAUUGCUAAAGCUAAUAGUACUAUCUACUUUCCAAAUUUAUUUUGAGAAUUAUUAGGAAAGAGCUUGACUAGUCCAAUAUUUCCAAAAUGAGCUCCGUAGAUGGCAGCUGUAAUUGUACACAGGUUAACACCAGCUCUGAUGGCUGUCUUUGCCUGUGUGGCCCUGUGAUCAUGAUUGUAUUGUGUUCUAUUCCUUCUAAGCAGAUGGAACCCACCAUGCACAUGUGGUAUUGUGCCAGCAUGUCGCUUUCUUGGGCUUGUUGAAAAGGUCAAAUAAUACAAAUUUGGAGAAAAAGUUAAAAGAUUUAGUUAAGUCUGAAAAAGCAGUUGUCUACCUUCCAAUUCUUAUCUUUCCUCAUUGCCUUUUCCACCAAAAUUCCAGCCUUUCCAGGAAACCUUUCCAAAUCAAGCAGAAGUCAGAAGUGUGUGCUGGCAUCCCCAGAAUGUGAGCUCCAGAACCAUCAUUCAUUUCUUGCCUGGUUUUGGGCACCACUUCCGGUCUGGACUGGCCACUUUCCUGUUCUAGAAAUCCAGCCUAUUGGACUUCAUGGUUCUGAAGUCCAUUCAACCCGGUUGGAAGCCCUUUGGCUCUAAGCAUCGGAGGAAGUGAAGAAGGGACGUGAAGCUGUUACCAGGAUGGACUGCAUGAAAUCUCAUUAACUGAGAACACAAGGGACCAGACAAAACAGAUUUUGAAUUAAUUAGUUUGCAGUAUGUGAAAGCAUUGCUGAGAAAUAUAGGACAUCUUAUUGGCUAAGAAAUUCCCAUUCAUUAUAUUACCCGAUGCAAUGUGAAGUCAAAUGAUAAAUGGGAAUGAUGUUUCCUAUAUUUUUGGGCAAAUGAUAGGUGGUUUGGGAAAUACCUUAUUUGGUUCUCGGCUGACUGGAUGAAAUUUAUCAGAUUCUUGUUUAUUGUCAUAAUUUUAGGUUGUAUCCUGACAGGUCUCAAGUUCUGUUCUUUAAUAACUUUUUUCCUUUCCAUGUGAAUCCCGAGUGAUCUAAUGGAUAACCAGACAUCCCAUGUUUUGUUUUAUUUAUUUUAAAAAAUAUUUAUUUAUUUAUUUAUUUAGGCUGUGCCAGGUCUUAGCUGCGGCACGCGGGGUCUAGUUCCCUGACCAAGGAUCGAACCCAGACCCCCUGCAUUGGGGAGCACAGAGUCUUACCCACUGGACCACUGGGGAAGUCCCCCCAUGCUUUGUUUUAAAUUUAUUGAUUCCUAAAGAUUCAAUACUAUUUUUUCACUUUAAGAUCUUUCUUUUCUCUUCAAGCGUGGCUCACGGUCAUCAGAGAGAAGCUUGGCUUCUUCACCUUGUGUCUGGAGGCACUUGCGCUUUGCAUUCCAUUUCCAGCUCCGAGGUGCCCGGACCCUGGGCUGCCUCUGGCUGUGCUCUGGCCGCCUCAGCAGCGCGGCUCUCAGUGCGUUUUGGUUGCUGUCUCCUGACUCACGGCGUGUGUGGCGAGGUCUAUGAGGAAUUUCCACGUCUGUGCUUGUUAACCUUUCCUCCUUGGGUUAGAGUCAGCUUAACCCAGGGCCUUGAGAAGAUGAGGCUGUAAUGAAAUACUCAGCGUAACAGGGAGGAGAGCGUCGCCCGGCUGGGCGUGGGGCAAUGGGGCUGAGCGAACGGACCGAGUGCGAUGGGGAUGCUUGGGGCGAGCCGAUGCGUGUCCCCCCAGCUCCUGUGAAGUCCCCUCCCUCCCUCUUGGUCGGGGCUUCCUCUCUUCCCUGCUCACCCUCGUCCUCCUGGCUAAGCCUCCACGUGGCCUGGGACUGAGCUGAGGCCCAGCUCAGGCUGCCCCCUGCUCCGCCCAGCGCGGGGCUGGGCUUGCCGCCGGAUGUCUCUCUGUCUCCCCACGAGAACCCCUGCUUCCCAGUUCCACAGCCCCCGGCCCUGGCUCCAGGCUUGAAAAGCACCUGCCAAAUCCAACCUGUGACCAGAUGGGUAGGGAGGGGAUUGGUGCUAUCUCAGCAAGGAGACGCGUAGACGCAGACUUCCUUCUCUCCUUGACGGGGCCUGACGGCGUCUGCUCCUCUCUUCACAGCUGUUUCUUCCGGCCACGUGCCCCACACCUGGCUGUCUCUGCAGAUGUGGACGAAGCCCCGAGAGGAGCAGCUGGGCCUCGGUCACCAGGAUAAGCUGUCCGCAGAGCUGGUGAAGCUGGCUUUGGGGCCCCGCCUGCCCCGGGGCCUGGCCUCUCAGCUCCAGCCUCGUUGCCUGGGCUGCUCCUGAUCUUCCCUCCUCUGACCAUCUUUCUAGAAUGAGAAGGAAGGAGGGAGAGGGUGACCAAGGCAGAAUGGAAGAGCCCGUGACUGCUGGAUGGACAGGGACCCUCCCUCUGUGACACUGAGACAGCCUGUGCUCUUCUUCACCAAUCCUCCUCCUCCUCCGAAUCAUUCUCGUCCCUGGCAUCUUCAGCUCCAUCAGCCUGUGACUGCAGCCGCAGCUCCCUGGAGUGGCCCCAAUUGCUGACCAAACCAUUCCAGCUACUAGAAGACCAUGUACCGUGUCCCUCUCACCUGCUCGCCUCACUCUGUCAAUGCCUGUUGCCAUGGAGCUGUCUGAAGGACAUUGCUCAUUGCUGUCUUAGUAUCAAGUCCUUGUGCAAAGAAGUCCAACGUUUGUGCAGAUGUGCCAGUAGCCAGAUGUGCACAAGCCACCAGAAGGAGGGUGUGGCAGGGAGGUGCUGGAACUGGCCCAAAGCAAAAGAAUGCCCGCUGUCCCAACCCAGCACCAGUCUUGGUUAGCUGGGACUCUAAUUAGUUUUUGCUUGAGUCUAGACUCACAAAGUUUCUAGCAAAGACCUCUGUCUUUCCCUGGCUCUACCUCUGACCACACUGGGGAGCAGAUAUGCUCUGCCGUAUCUCUCAGCUACAUCGUCUUCACUCCCAGCCCUCAGUUCAACCAAGACUCCUCUCUCUCUUUCCCAUUAUUACACAAAUUCUCCCCUCUGCAUCAGUGCCUGCCAACAGUCCCCAGUGGUGUUGCACUGUCUAUACUAGCAGGUCCUGGAGGCUCUGAAGGCCUCUGCUGUACAAAGUCCUCUGGGCUCCUUGAAUAUGAACAAGUUGUUUUCUGAACAAACAAUCAGGAAACCCGGGCAAACAAGUUUACUGAUGGAACGAAGGGACAGACAAUUUGUGAUUAGGAGUCUCCAGAGAAAUCCUGAAAACUGGGCUGAUGCAGCUGAAAACUCUGCCCUCGGGAGGGAAAUGGGUUAAAGCACGUUCGGGAAACAGGCUAAGCUUGGUCACAGGAAGCCCUCAGACGAUGCCAAUGACAUGGACAAAAUGCAAGCAUCCUACUAUGCGCCAGAUGCUGUAGGAGGGGCUCGUGUAUGUUACCUGAUCUUCAUAAAACCACAACAAAGGCAGGAUCAUCUUCAUGUGGAGAUGACACCAUUGCGUCUCCCCGAGGUGACUUGCCCAAACACACACAGCCAGCAAACGGUGCCGACAUAGCUCUAACCCAGUUGAGACAGGUUACGAAGCCAGUUCUUGUCACACUGCCAUGUGCCAGGGACACAUCCAGUCAUCCUGAUCCCUUCUGUGGUCCAGGUCAUCCCUUCCAAGGACCACACGGUCUGUAUCCCAUAAGAGUCAGAUUCAGAUAUAUCAGCCCUCUUCAUAGCAAGAUUGCUGAUUGCUCUUGCCUUUUUAACUUGGGAUCUCAUCUUGAGUUUCGUUUCCAGAUUUCCCUGACUUUGGGUUUGUGCUUUGCCCUCUUACUCUUAUCCGAGAGGACACGUUUGUUUUCUUUGAUCUGAUGUUCUCUGAUCCACCUGCAUGAAGGUCUGAGCUCACCCUCGAAGCCUCUGGCUCUGACUGACCCAGCUCAGUCCUGGGACCUAACCUGUCACGGGACAUCUUGACCCCCUGCCCCGUCUGCAUUGUCUGCCAUCCUGCAAUGUCAGCGGGCGGUCAAGUGCGAGGUAGGAUUCCUCCAAGAGGCACCUAGAAGAGGGAGAAAGUGGACACAGAGCGGCUAGAGCUAGGCUUGGAGGCCCCAAGGUGAUGCGCUUGGCCGCGGAGUGAGAGGAGAGGAGGUCUGUCACACAGUGCGUCCCCGGCAGCCAUCAAAGGGGAGCUGUACCCUUACUGGGACAGAGCCUGGGACAUCUGGGCUGCAGAUGUGCCUUUACUGACUGCUCGACCCACUGUUGCACAUGGCCACCCACUGUCCCAGUCAGAGGCUUGUGGCAUCUUGACCGGCCCUCGUGGGCUGACUGUCCUGGCAUAGCCUGUGACGUUAUGAAUGGCUCACGUCGAAUCUGACCUCUUAAGUGCUUCCAGCUUUUGUGAUUUGCCUAAUGGAAGCAGAGAAGACCAGCUAUUUCAGAAUAUGCCAAUAAAAUUGCUCAUGGAUUGAAAGAA